ACUCAACACUAACAAAUUAGAAUGAGCAAAUCAUCACUACUAGAGCAUGCCACGCCCAGGCGAGGAAACUUGAACAGUGAGUUAGCUCAAAACUUGUCAACUCGAGUUU
rnacentral:sRNA from 1 species